GAGCUUUAAUUCAAGGGCGGGGGCGGGUGGGGUGGGGGGGGGUCAGGUUUUUUAAAACUAUUUCCUCCGCCACGAUUGUCUUUCUGUUUUUUGCAAAAAACCCGCUCCAUCUACCGACAAAACAAACAAAGGGAGGCCAUCUUGUUUUUUUUUGUUUGUUGUUUUGUGUUCAUAAGCUCAGGUACAACAGUCUUAACAGUCAAAGUGUUUACACUCGGAGGAUAGCAGUGUGUGUUUGUGUGUGUGUGUGUGUGUGUGUGUGUGUGUGUGUGUGUGUGUGUGUGUGUGUGUGUGUGUGUGUGUGUGUGUGUGUGUGUGUGAGAUUUAAAAACCAACUGAGUGAGUGACGGGGCGGAGGGGACGUGUCGAAAGUUGAAAAGUGUGUGUUGGAUUUGGGAGGCAGUCAUUAAAAGAUCUGGUUCUGUGACCCUCGGCUUAACGAGACCCCGGCCCUGCGUCCGAAGCUUCAAACGAGCAAAGCGACGGAGGGUGAAAGAGACAAAAUAAAUACUUUUGCACUCUUAACCAUUUUUAAAUUUUACCCGCUAAACCCAAAAAUCGCCCCCUUACAAAAAUGACAUCCUUCACAUUUUCUUUUACCUUCAUAGUCGUAAAUAUAAAAGUACAGCCAACCAGUGACACACGAAGGAAAGAUAAUACAUGGCUUAUACCGAGAGGAAAGGUCAGGGGGGGUAAAAAAAGCUCAAUACUCUCUGUGUGUUCGCUCUGAUAUGUCCGUGACAGAAAAUACUUAGCAUUAUUAUACUGACACUGCAAAUACUCAACACUUUGAUAUGCCAAAAGUACUUAUAAUAAGUAGAGAUUAUAUCCGCAAACAUCUUUAAAAAAGUGGAAAGCUUCUUGGGGGGAAGUGAGACCAUCAUGGGACACUGGACAGAUGGAAAUGUAACAGAGAAGCUAGAACUGGGAAAACCAAUGAUAUUUCCAAAUCAUGUAAUUUCUUCGUUGGUUUAUUAUUCAUUUAUAUUUAAAAUCUGUAUCAUGAACGUUUUUUUAGGUUUACAAUUGGUGGAUGUGCUAUUUUUGGAGGGAAAACAAAUAAAAUGAUUAUCACAUUUGCAAAUGAAUCAUAUUUAAUAAAUAUAUAAAUUAAAAAAACCUCAUCAGAAGUUGUACUUUUGAUAUUGUAUUUAAUUUAAAAAUAAUUUCAUAUUUUUAAAUAAUUAUCACCUCGUAGAAAUAUUUUAUUUACUAAUUUCCCUUUCCUUAAUAUUGUCUUCUUUUAACUCAUAUUUAAUUUAACUUUUUAAUAAAAUAUUAAAGGUGUUCCAAACUGCAGAAUGCUAAUGGGAGCUCUGAUUGGUUAAUAAUAAAUACAUUAACUUGGAGAAUUUAAUAAAUAGUGCAAAGAUUGUUUUGUAUCUGCUGAAUGUCAGAUUUUGAAAAGCAGGUGUAUCUGUUUAAACCGGCGGUGAGUGUGUGUGUGUACAGAAUGUGUGUGUGUCCAUGGGUCAGGGUGGGGUUCAGGUAAAGUGCGCUCCAUCAGUGACGGAGUCCUAACCGUUCUCUCUCUAAAACAGUCCGAGUCACCGCGGCUACGUUUUCCCUUUCUACAGCUCCCUCUUUAGGCUCGUCCACAUAUUACACUUUAUAUACACGCAUAAAUAUAAAUAAAAAAAGAGACCGAUCCGCUGAGAAUCAACGCGUUUGCUAUUUUUUUUUCCUGUUAAGGGAUAUCCUGCCGAUAUAUAGUUUGUAUAUACAAUCCCUGUCGUCUAUUGUCCCGCCCCCGAUGCAGAGCUGCCCGCCUGUUUAAAUAUAUACUUGUAUCAUACUGUAUGAUCUAUACCUUCAAAAACACCCUAUCCCUGUCACACAAAAGCCACAAAGGUUACAGAUUGCUUAUAUACACGGUACCUCGCCAAUCGCCCCCUUUGAACAUCAGCUAUCUAUUCAAAACACAAAAAUAAAUUCAGCUGUGUGCAUCGCAGGUGUGUGCUCCAGGAUGAAAUUGAGAAUGAACAUUUUGCCCCACAUCACUUUGUUAAAAAACGAGGUAACAAACCAUACACACACACACACGCAAACACACACACACAAACACACACACACACACACACACACACACA